rnacentral:rRNA from 1 species
GACGAACGCUGGCGGCGUGCCUAAUACAUGCAAGUAGAACGCUGAAGAGAGGAGCUUGCUCUUCUUGGAUGAGUUGCGAACGGGUGAGUAACGCGUAGGUAACCUGCCUUGUAGCGGGGGAUAACUAUUGGAAACGAUAGCUAAUACCGCAUAACAAUGGAUGACACAUGUCAUUUAUUUGAAAGGGGCAAUUGCUCCACUACAAGAUGGACCUGCGUUGUAUUAGCUAGUAGGUGAGGUAAUGGCUCACCUAGGCGACGAUACAUAGCCGACCUGAGAGGGUGAUCGGCCAAACCGGGACCGAGAAACGGCCCAGACCCCUACGGGAAGCAGCAGUAGGGAAUCUUAGGCAAUGGGGGCAAGCCUGAACGAGCCACGCCGCGGGGGUGAAGAAGGUUUUCGGAUCGUAAAGCUCUGUUGUAAGUCAAGAACGGGUGUGAGAAUUGAAAGUUCACACUGUGACGGUAGCUUACCAGAAAGGGACGGCUAACUACGUG